CCUACGGGUGGCAGCAGUGAGGAAUAUUGGUCAAUGGGCGUAAGCCUGAACCAGCCAAGUCGCGUGAGGGAUGAAGGUUCUAUGGAUCGUAAACCUCUUUUAUCCGGGAAUAAAGUGUGGGACGUGUCCUGUUUUGUGUGUACCUUAUGAAUAAGGAUCGGCUAACUCCGUGCCAGCAGCCGCGGUAAUACGGAGGAUCCGAGCUUUAUCCGGAUUUAUUGGGUUUAAAGGGUGCGGAGGCGGCCUUUUAAGUCAGCGGUGAAAGUUGGGGGCGCAACCAUAGAAGUGCCGUUGAAACUGGGAGGCUUGAGUAUGUGUGAGGCAGGCGGAAUGCGUGGUGUAGCGGUGAAAUGCAUAGAUAGCACGCAGAACCCCGAUUGCGAAGGCAGCCUGCCAAGCCAUGACUGACGCUGAUGCACGAAAGCGUGGGGAUCAAACAGGAUUAGAUACCCUUGUAGUC
rnacentral:rRNA from 1 species